GUAAGUCAAGCUGUGGAGGGACUGGGUGUGGCUGAGCCCCGUGACAAGUGGGAGGAGCCAGGGAUGCUUGGGAGGGGAGGCACUGUGCGCGAGAGAGGAGGGAAAGGGGAAGCGUUCGUGCCUCUCUGCCCCCUGUCCCCCUCUUGCUGCAUAGUAGCCACAUCCAUGUCUCUUGUACCCUGCAAUCUGGAGGCCACUGCCAGAAGCUGGAAAUCUCAAGUAGAGCAGCAAAAGGCUUGAGGAUGGAUUCUUGGCUCCUGGUGCAUUGCCACUCCCUGCCACCCUCCUCCUUGUCUUCUAUCUUCUCCUGGUGGCGUCAGGCCUUGCUUCGUGUCCCAACAGGAGCCUCUGGGGCUGGCACAGCCCUCACUGCCUACAACCUGGGCCUGGUGGUUCUCCUAGGGUGCCUCUGGGAGGUCAUGGUCACCCCGCUGCUGGCUAACUGCAGCUACUUCUGCCAGCCAGUGGACUACAGAUGGAGAAAGCAUGGAAUGAGGGUAUGGCAGGGAGCAGGAAGCAAGCCUGGAGAGGGUUAGGAGGAACAACUUCAUAACAAUCGGAGGUCAAGGAGGCAUCUUCCUGGAGACAGGAAGGUAGGCACUGUGGAAUCAGCGGUGCGUAGAACAGUGAGGAUUUGGGGCUGAACCCAGCCCAGGUGGGCCAAGCCGUGGCACCAGCCGGACUGCAGUCUGAUGGAACUUCCCCUUCCUGCCCAGCAGAUGGCGAGCGUGUGCUGCUGGUGCCUCUUUCCAAAGGACGUUGAAUUGCUUGACAGGUGUUCUUUACUUUAUGAAUGAAGCCAGAGCAGCCCACCUUCCUGCAUCUCUACCACCAUGGCACCAUGCCCUGUGAUGGGUGGGCUGGAGUCAAAUAUGUAGCAGGCAGCCAGGGUCAGUUUGUGGCCACUGCUGCCCCCUCUUCCUACAGUCUCCUCACUGAGUGCCCCUUCCCUGUUGGGUUCAACACAUCUGUGCUCCUGUAAGCCCUCAGCCUCCUCGUUCUCUUCCUCAACUUCUACCACCAGACACAUCUGAGAAGCAAGCAAGAGAGGCUGAACUAGGAGCAGGACCCAGGGACUGAAACCAGCACAGCAUCCCCACAGAGAAUUGGGUGGAAGGCAGCAUGGCUUCCAGCUUACUGGUGCUGAGCAGAUUGCUCUGGGUCUCCAUUGUAUCCUCUGAAGGAAGGAGGAGGAUUGCCUUCUGUCCAGAUCUCAGGAUCAAACAAAUAGGUCCAAUUUCCUGUGCUCACUUCAGUUAGAGCACUUCUCAUGUGACUUUGUAGCUUUGUGUGCAUCUCCUUCCUCUACUAGACCUAAGCCCCUCACGGGAGGGACUCUCUUAUUCUUGAUGUUCCCCACACCUGGAAUUUCAAUAAACAUCUCAAUAAACGUGUGUGUUUGGAUCCUUGGAUCCCAUGACUGCCGUCAUAACCUUGGUGAAGAAGAGGGCUGGGAGUAGGAAAGAGGUCAAGGUUCGCUUGAUCUCUAACCCUAUAGUGGGAAAUUGUGACGGAGAAUAUUCAAGAGUGGGUGUGGGUCUGUUUGAUUUCAGGUGUAGCUGUGUAAAUAGUUAGCCCUGCAUAUAUUUUUGUCUACUCACAACUGCCUGCAUGUGUAUUCAUAGAGUUGUGUGAUUCUGUGUAUGUGCCUGGGGAGUGGGAGAGGGCCAUGUGCACAUGUCUGAAUACUUGUUUUCAAAUAUACAUGCAUGUUUCCAUUUGGGUUUCUCUCCAUUUGUGUUGUUUGCCUGCCUCUUCUGUAAGUCUCUGAAAGUGCCACAUUGGCAAAUAAAAGCCACUGGGAUCAAUAAUUCUCCUGUUCUGAUGGGAGACAUGGAAGCCCACUGAGAAAUCUCCGAAUACAUGUUCCACUAAGAGCUUCCAAAAAUAAAUGGGAAAAAAGGAGAAAUGGGGCACACCCAUCUUCUUCACAGAGAGGGAAACUGAGGACCAGCAAAGGGGAAUAUAUGACUGAGAUACUAUGGCAGAAGCAAAUAUUGGCUGAGCUGUUCAAACCCAGAAUAGGAUGGGUUUCUUGAAAGCAGUUUGCCUGGGAGCUGUCUCUAUGUCUCCAGUAUGAUGACUUUUCUCCUUUAUAAUUGCCCUUCGGCUGUUUUUCAUCUCUAGGUAAGUUCUUAUUUUGCCAUGCCUCAAUAGUCAAGAAAAUUAAAGAAUUGCUGAAGGUUAUGCAGUGCUAUUUGGGGACUGUGUCUCCAUCUGGCCUUUUAGUUAAUCAACCCAAGGCCAGGCAAGGCUACAUCCUGUGGACAGAAUACUCAGAGAAAAUUCC
rnacentral:lncRNA from 1 species